rnacentral:hammerhead_ribozyme from 11 species
AUCCAGUUGACGAGUCCCAAAUUGGACGAAACGCGCGUCAAACUGGAU